AUGUGCAUCUACUUAAUUUUCAGUCUGCAGCCACGUCAGGCGUGCAUUCCAAGUGGCAUUAAAUGGAGCAUUUUUCGCGGGGUGGAGGUAGUGGGGAAUAGGUGGAUAAAGACCUCCGAACGCAGUAGUCAUUCAAGCCGUUUUUUUCUGGUCGAAUUGAUCGGAUCGUUGAUUGCUUGCUCUAUCGGAACGCUGUUGUCAUUCGGGUGGUUAAAAUAUUCGAGAAAGGAUACCUACAGCAAAACUACCUGACCAAUGUACCUCAUUUGUGGUGUUCAAAAAUUUCUGCCCUCACUUUAUUUUUCUGAAGGAGGACAUAUCACUAUCGUUCUUGGAAGUUUUCAUAGAGUUUUCUUUGCACAAAGAAGAAAAAAAAUGGAAGUCUUCAAGAAUUUACGUUGAAAAGCUUUCAAUUUGAAAAGUAAAGUAUGACAGGAAGUCUGUAACGUCGCAAACCGAUACACGUGGGCUGGGAGUUUCACUGUCAAUAUAUGCUCUGAAAAAGAACUGCUAGGUAACUAAACUAACGUUGUGACAACGCGUGGAGUAUCACUCAGAAAUGAAGGCUCGAAGACUUCGUAGUAUCCUGAGAAUCUUCGCUAAACCCGAGUGUCCAAGCACUGUACCUCCAAUCCACCUUCGAUACACUUCAUGAUGCAAAAUUUAGGCAUUCCGUACUACGAAUUUACAAUGCCCUUCAUUCGCAGCCACUUUUUUUAGCUAUUGGUACCUAAAUUUGUCGAAAUAAAUGAGACAAAUAAGAAAAUCUUUCCUACAAAUUCACUUUUUACUCUCGAUUUUAAUUGUUUGACACGGUUAAAAUGAAUGAUAGUGUAACCCGAUUAGAUAUAAACUCCAGGAAAUCCAGUAGCCAGUGCAAGAUUGCUGAAAUUGCGUAGCAUACGGUUACUUAACUUAACCGGAUAAUGUAUGCCACUGACAUGUAUCUUUUACCAGCUACUAGAUCCGGUAAACUGUAUAAUUGGAUCGCAUUUAGCAAAAAGAAUCCAGCGAAAUUACAGUGUUAUCAAAACUGUGCAACUUCCUCUUUUCUUUUAAAAUACUUAAUACGUGUACAGCACGGGAAUUUACACAAUUAUUUUCAUUUAAAAUUAAAAAGUUUAUCAAAAUUAAAAUCUGUUUGCUAUUCUGGGACAUUUUUUAGAUAAACAUGAGGAAGCAACAUUUUAACAACACUGUAAUUGCGCUGGCCCCUUUUUGCUAAAUUUAAUCCAAUUAGGGAUCUCCAUCAUUAUUUUUCAUCCUUGUACAGCAUUUGUCUCAUAUAUUCUGAACCGAUUAUUUGGAGAGCAUUGUCCACAGGUUAUGACAGGACAGCACCUUCCCUCUGCUCUAAAUUCUGAAUAAAUGAUAGAUGGCAACUCUGUGAUGGAGCUGAAAAGAUCAAAUUCAAAGCUCAUUCAGUUAUUGACCCCACAAGGAUUGAGCGAGGGGGAAAAGUCCGUUUUGACUGAGUGAUGAUCACAUGAGCGAGUCAGAGGUGAUUAUGAGCUUCGAUAGCUCAGUGCUUAUUGAAAACCUCCCGGAUUUUUUCCAGCUGCUUUAUCGCUUUUUCAAUAAAGAAAAUGUCCCCAGCAGCGAAGCUCUUGCAUGAAGCAAGGAUAUUCGAUUUAAUCAUCGAUUCUCUUGUUAAUGAAUGUUACGGAGAAUACAAUGGUGCCACCGGUUUUGUCUGGAAUCAAAUCUCAGGCUUGCAAAAAGCUUUUAAUGUCAAGGCUGCUUCAGAUGAGCAUUCUUGUUAUUUCAGAAGACUUUAUUUAUGUCCUGAUGCUUCCAUUGCAGGCAUUGAACAAUAAUAGUAUAUAAAGAGUUUGCUAGCAUAUCAAGAGAACCUUAGUAUCAAGAUAUCGUCACCUUCCAGCGAAAGUCUCACAAACGCCAUGUAAUGAUAGUCGGAGAGAGGGCUAACACGUUUAGAAUAUAUUAAUAUGUGAUUCCUUUAUUUAAUGCCUCUGAUGAAAAAACACGGAGGGCGAAAAUAGUUUUUCUUUAUGGAACCUUUCCUCCCCGGCUGGGUAAGAAAAAGCCCAUCUAACAGGGAUUUUUGGAGGCAAAAGAAGAACGAUAGUUAGUGGGUACUGUAGAGGCGAAACAAGGAACAGGCUGACCAGCGAUAAGGAACAAAAUGAAUGAAAAAAAUUAACAAAUAGAGGAAAAAGGGGCUAAGUGACGGGUUUAGCCCCCCGUCAGGGCACACUAUAACUUUUACUUAAAUUUUGAAAGAAAGGGAAAUAUACCGCAGAGAAAAUCUACUGUAAGAACGCAAGAAACCCGAACAGCAGCACGGUAGCAGGCAAUGAACGAACAAUCGAAAAAAAAGAGUGGGGAGCCAAGUAGUGCUAGUAGUCGCCACGUGACCACUAGCGCUACUUGGCGGGCUUAAAUUUUGAAAAAGGAAGGGGUAGGGGGAACACCCCGUUACAUUUAAUUUAUUGUUUCAUCGGUGGUGUAUUGUUUUCUCCGAAUUUAUCGUUGAAAUUUCCGGGAGCGAUAGUUCUUUCAGGUGCUCAUCUUCUGCGGGGAACUUAAAACGCGCCUACGUAGAUAAUAACAGUCGAGCGCUUCUUUAAAAAGAACGUGUUAGAGCUUUUCCGCUUUGUUUUUAAUAUACUUUCAUUGAAUGCAUAUAAAUUUGAUGCUUCUUAGCUGAAAACUAGUGCAGGGUAAGUUUUCAAGAUUAACUGCGUCCAAAAAUUUUAGCAUUAAGGUAAAACAGCGAAAAGCGACUACCACUUGUUUUUUUUUUUUUUUAAAUUAGGACGCUAAAAUGAAUUAAAACUGCGAGUGGAAAGUAACUCGUCGGAUAAAACUCGAUAAUCUCGAGACGCGACAAUCGUAACAAGAUCGUAAAAGCACUGAAAUUAAGCUAUUCUGCUCCCUCUCUUAGAUUUAUUGCUUGCUUGAGAGAAUGAACUUAAAGCGGAAGACGCCGUGAAUGGAACUUCAUUAAAAAUAAGAGGAUUUAACAAGAGCGACAAGGAACUAGGGAGACGCGCAAGAGACGAAUGUAAUCCCUCGGCAUCAGCACGUUUUUCAGGGGCGUUAAAAGUGCAACCUGGGAAAAUUUUCUCAGAUGAGCAAAUUUGCCUCUUCGUCGACAGGAUGAAAAAGAAAGUUUCAAAAAUGCUGUUGAGCUCAUGAAAAUGCACUAUGCAUUUUAAUUCCUCCAGGAAGUUUUUCCACGGCAAUGUAUAUAUGUCGCAUUCGAAUGGUUAAAUCAGAUAUUUUGUCAAACGCCCAGGCAGAUUGUCAAAUUUUGACAGUUUACGCAAUUUUGUAAAUGUAUGGCGGAGAACUUAAGAUUUUUCAAUAUUUUGGGAAAAAGAACUCAUCAAAUCUACGAACUCUCUUGUUUCUUCCUCGUCAAAUGAUUUUUAUCUAUUUUAAUGUUAAAAUUAUAAAUAUUCUGUAUUUCAUGAUGUUCUGAAAAUGUCAAGACGUAUUUUCAUUCAGGAGCUAAAAAUCGUUUAAAAUCACUACGAUACACAUUUUUAAAAAGAAGUCUUACUUACGGGAGCAAUAAAUUAUCCUGUCUAAAAUUAGGAAAAGAACAAAAAUUUAUUUGUGUAUGAAUGAUAAGUGUCAUUUUCAGACUCACAUAUCAACGGUUAAAAGUCCUAAAAGUAAUUUACCUGGCAAGUAUGAUUAAUUAAUUAUUAUAUCAUAAGAAGUUCCCAUGAUUUGAAAGGGCCAGGAGCAGUCUCACAAACACCUAAUUCCGUGGAUGGUCUUACAAAACACGAGACACAUAAAUUGCAUACUUUUUUCCAUGGCUGUCAUAAUGCAUGCAUAAAUUCUCAUUUUCCACAAAUUAUUGUUCCUUUCUGAGAGGAAUGAGCAACCUACUCUUCCGUGCUAAGCAAGAAAACCGUAAGAGCCAUAAGACGUUGCCAAAUUUCCUUCAACAAUAACAAAUUUUCAGGACAGUUUGUGAAUAGCUCUGUUCCGAUUUUUUAGAGGAUUUCGUUCGUAAUUUGAUCUAAAAUUUUCAAAAAUUUUAAGAAAGAAUAUUCAUAACUUUCUUCAAAAAUAAAUAUUUUCUGAGAGGUAAUUUGGCAACAUUCUGAUGCCUCUACAGCGUUUUUGCGUAGCACGGCAGUGCUGGCAACAGGGAUCGUCGUUUAUCAAAAUACAGAAAAGCUUCAGGAUUUCGCCACUGCGAACCGUACAUAAUAAAUGAUAAUAAAAAAGUAGGAUGCUCAUAUUUUUAUUCUCUGCUCGGAGUAACAGAUUCGCCCUUCUCUGUCUUAAAGAACCAUCGCCAUCCAUUUCGAAUCGUUCGGUUUAUUCAACAUUUUGCAUUCGGGGUAGAAAUUGCUCGAUAUGUACCGGGUAGUUUACAUAGUUGCCAAUUACCAAAGUAACAUUGGUUGCAUUAAGAUGCAAUUGGAUCGAUUGAUCGUUGUAGGUAACUAAUAACGUAUUACAUUUUUUUUAUUAAAAGAAACUCGUCUAAUCUUAUAUAAAUUUCGCAGGCAAUUUGCAAAUCACUGGUGAAUAAAUAGAAAAGCACAAAAUUAAGAAAUGAAUUGGCAAGAUUGGACUACGGAUAAUUCUGCAUUUAAUGGUUUUUAUGCUUUUUAAGAAAAUACUCGCUUUUUCCUACAUAAAAACAUGCAAGUAACAAGCACACUCUGAAGAUCGUGUAGUGAGAUCCGUGCGUUUAGUUCGGCAAAGAUCGGACAAGGUAACUGAACUAACUCCGUGACGAAGCGUGGAGUAUCACAAAAAAUGAAGGAGCCCAAAUUAUGCUUGUAAAGGUCAUUGCAAUUUAUGGAGAGCAUGGAUGAACCACUUGCAGAUUUCCGGCGAUCGCAAAUUGCCUGAGACAACACAAGAAAAUGAUCCUUUGUUGACCUCAUUUGAUCGAAAAUUAUUUUUUCUAAGGCGAUUUUCCUGCAACGUCCAAGAAUUUACAGAGAAUUUGAGGUAUCCUACUCCAAUUAGUGAAAAAACAGC
rnacentral:lncRNA from 1 species